UCAAGCAAAAAAGAGCGCAGGGUGGAUGCCUUGGCACUAAGAGCCGAAGAAAGACGUGAUAAGCUGCGAAAAGCUGCGGGGAGAUGCAAAUAAUCCUUGAUCCGCAGAUGUCUGAAUGGGGAAACCCGGCUGGAAGGACUCCAGUCAUCCAUACGCCAAUCCAUAACGUAUGGAAGGGAACCCGGUGAACUGAAACAUCUAAGUAGCCGGAGGAAGAGAAAGAAACAUCGAUUUCCAGAGUAGCGGCGAGCGAAAUGGAAAGAGGCCAAACCGUUGUGCGUGCACAGCGGGGUUCGGACCGCAUAAUUGAUUCAGUGAUUCUAGCAGAAAGGUUUUGGGAAAGCCUGCCGGAGAGGGUGAAAGCCCCGUAAGCGAAAGGAAAACUGACAAGGCGGUAUCCAGAGUACAUCGAGACACGUGAAACCUUGAUGGAACACGCGGGGACCACCCCGUAAGCCUAAAUACUACUUAGUGACCGAUAGCGCAUAGUACUGUGAAGGAAAGGUGAAAAGGACCCCGGGAGGGGAGUGAAAGAGAACCUGAAACCCUGUGUUUACAAGCUGUGGAAGUUCUUUAAAUGAACAACCGCGUACUUUUUGUAGAACGGUCCGGCGAGUUGCGGAUACUGGCAAGGUUAAGCACUUAAGGUGCGGAGCCGAAGGGAUACCAAGUCUUAACAGGGCGUUAAGUCAGUAUACGCAGACCCGAAACCGGGUGAUCUAUCCAUGUCCAGGUUGAAGUUGUCGUAAAAGACAAUGGAGGACCGAAGCCACAUCCGUUGAAAAGGGUGGGCAUGAGGUGUGGAUAGGGGAGAAAUUCCAAUCGAACCCGGAGAUAGCUGGUUCUCCUCGAAAUAGCUUUAGGGCUAGCCUCGGUCAUGAGUCUUGCGGAGGUAGAGCACUGAAUUUCCUAGGGGGCGUCAAAGCCUACCGAAGAAUAUCAAACUGCGAAUGGCGUGGUGAUGAUUCACAGGAGUCAGACUGCACGAGAUAAGUUGGGUGGUCAAAAGGGAAAGAGCCCAGACCCACUGCUAAGGUCCCAAAGUGCGUGUUAAGUGGAAAAGGAUGUGGGAUUUCAAAGACAGCUAGGAUGUUGGCUCAGAAGCAGCCACGCAUUCAAAGAGUGCGUAAUAGCUCACUAGCCGAGAGGUCCCGCGCCGAAAAUGUCCGGGGCUGAAACACGACACCGAAGCAUGGGAAUCAUACACAAGUAUGGUUGGUAGAGGAGCAUUGAUGACGCGGCGAAGCGGUACCGGCAAGGAGCCGUGGAGUGUCAUGAAGAGAGAAUGCCGGAAUGAGUAGCGAGAUUAAAGUGAGAAUCUUUAAGGCCGAAUAUCCAAGGUUUCCGGGGUAAAGCUGAUCUGCCCCGGGUAAGUCGGGGCCUAAGGCGAGGCGGAGACGCGUAGCCGAUGGACAACAGGUUGAGAUUCCUGUACUGCAAUGGAUCAGAACUGUGGGGACACGGGAGGUAAAGGAAAGCCGGGAAAGGAAAGCCCGGUGAAAGCCGAGGAGGCGUAUGCGAGGCAAAACCCGCAUGCAAGCCAGAGCGGCGAGAGGAGCGAAACAAAAGUAGCGAAGUUCCGGAGCCUGCCGUCAAGAAAAGCCGCUAUAGUGUCCAUUGUACCCGUACCGUAAACCGACACAGGUAGAUGAGGAGAGAAUCCUAAGGCCGGCGGGAGAAGCAUUGUCAAGGAACUCGGCAAAAUGACCCCGUAACUUCGGGAGAAGGGGUGCCACAGCAAUGUGGCCGCAGAGAAUAGGCCCAAGCAACUGUUUAGCAAAAACACAGGUCUAUGCAAAACCGAAAGGUGAAGUAUAUGGGCUGACGCCUGCCCGGUGCUGGAAGGUUAAGGGGAGAUGUCAGGAAACGAAGCAUCGAACUUAAGCCCCAGUAAACGGCGGCCGUAACUAUAACGGUCCUAAGGUAGCGAAAUUCCUUGUCGGGU
rnacentral:rRNA from 1 species